rnacentral:rRNA from 1 species
GACGAACGCUGGCGGCGUGCUUAACACAUGCAAGUCGAACGAUGAAGCCGGAGCUUGCUCUGGUGAAUUAGUGGCGAACGGGUGAGUAACACGUGAGUAACCUGCCCUUGACUCUGGGAUAACUGCGGGAAACUGUAGCUAAUACCGGAUACGACCCUCGGAGGCAUCCCCUGGGGGUGGAAAGAAUUUCGGUCAAGGAUGGACUCGCGGCCUAUCAGCUAGUUGGUGAGGUAAAGGCUCACCAAGGCGACGACGGGUAGCCGGCCUGAGAGGGCGACCGGCCACACUGGGAAUGAGACACGGCCCAGACUCCUACGGGAGGCAGCAGUGGGGAAUAUUGCACAAUGGGCGCAAGCCUGAUGCAGCGACGCCGCGUGAGGGAUGAAGGUCUUCGGAUUGUAAACCUCUUUCAGUAGGGACGAAGCGAAAGUGACGGUACCUAAAGAAGAAGCACCGGCUAACUACGUGCCAGCCGCCGCCGUAA